UACGAAGGGGGCUAGCGUUGUUCGGAAUUACUGGGCGUAAAGCGCACGUAGGCGGAUCGAUCAGUCAGGGGUGAAAUCCCAGGGCUCAACCCUGGAACUGCCUUUGAUACUGUCGAUCUGGAGUAUGGAAGAGGUGAGUGGAAUUCCGAGUGUAGAGGUGAAAUUCGUAGAUAUUCGGAAGAACACCAGUGGCGAAGGCGACACACUGGCCCAUUACUGACGCUGAGGCUCGAAAGCGUGGGGAGCAAACAGA
rnacentral:rRNA from 1 species